ensembl:lncRNA
GCAGGUUCCCGACCUUGAUCCUGCACGUGCUCCGUCACACCCACUGGAACUCGGGAAGGACCGCUAAUUAGCUGAUUAAGUCGAAUCAGGAAAAACACUAAAAUUUACAGGACCAGGGUUUGGGAACCUGUGAAACCUAAAGAAGCCAAUUUAUGACGCACAGUCCUUGCUGAUCAAUUACUUUUGGUGUUCGAUACCUCGUUGUGUAAAUGAUAUUUUUCUAACAGUUGAUUUUUUUUGUGUAUGUGUGUGUUCGUUCAGGUUAAAAGCAGCAGAGGAAUGUUUUAGACAAGCCAAGGAAAAAGCCACGUACAGCGUCAAACCCAAGCACGCCUCUGGAAUUAAAGCGAAGCUGGGCAUGAAGAUCUAACAAGCUGGACUUUUUAAUCCUAAAAAUGAAAUAAAAACCCUUACGGAUCAGCUGUGAGGUAGAGUGCAUGGACUGCAGACAUGGGCUAUUUUGUGUAUUAAAAAUUCAUACUUCUGUGUCACACGUGCACUCACACACACACACACACACACACACACACACAAUAAUGUAAUGUAGCAGCCCUCAAAAUGUUCAUCUGCAGCAUACAUACAGGAAGUGUGUCAUGUGAUGUCAGAACCUAUCAGUGUGCGCGCCCUCAUGGGUGAAUUGCCGUGUAUGUAAACUGGAUCGUACCUAGUUAAAAGGAAAAGACAUGAGAAGUAUGUGCUACCAGUGGUGAAAAUGAAAAGAAAUUAAGCUUGAUAAAUGGGGAAUGUGUGUAUUUUCCCCUCAACUUGUUUAAACUGCAGUAUUUUCUCUGAACCGGUCCCUCGUUGCCGUGGAUCACCAGCAGUAUGACGACGCAAACACUCCAUUUUGUUUUAGGCCAGUUUCUCAGAUAAAAAUGAAGGCAGUCAUUCUUUCGUCAUCAGUGUAAUACUAAAAAUGCUUUAAAAAAAAAAAAAAAAAAAAAAAAAAAACGCUUUUUCAAGCUGUAUUUAGGCUCCCGCCCCCCCCUUCCUUCCAUUGUGGAGUUCCUAUAUCACGAAUAACGUAAGCAUUAACUGUAACACGGUGUUACACGUCAGUAUAAGUGGCUUAAGCAGAGCUCCUUAAAAGACUGCACAGGAUCUGCGAGCUCGCACUAACGGGGAGAUUAUCGGGGAGAUUAUCAGGAAGCAGUAGGACACCUGAGGGAUGAGCAUUCACGUAAACGAGAGCGAAGUCCGCCUUAGUGAUGAUCAGGUACAUGCAUUGUUCUUCCUACUUCAGCAACAGAGGUAUUCCAGUUCCAGCUGAAGUCGUAGAGCUGUAUUGUCUGUUUAACCCAUCAUGUCUGUUUAACGGAUCAUGGCAGAAAAAAAUGUUUAAUAGGGAUUAUUUUUAAAUGGCAACAUACAAGACUUGCUUAAAAUGUAUUUAAAAAUGCCAUUAUUUUAUCUAAUGUAAAGUAGUAUUAGCAUCUUUAUGUAAGAUAAUUCAUGUGUAUAUUUCUUUUUUUUUUCUUUUUUUUUUUUUUUUUUUUUAUAACUUAAUUUUUCUGUCUCAGCAUGUAUGUGUUCAGUGUCAAUCACUCUGGUUCAAGAGCAAGGAGGGUCUGCCCACGUGCAAUAACUGUUUGUAUCUUUUUGUUUGGGUAUUUUUUUGGAAAUAACAUAAUUUAUGUAAAAUAAAGAGAAAUAAAUUAAAG